CAAUUGCAAACAUAAAUUGCACGGCAUUGUUUCAAUUUUCAUACCUUAUUUCAAUUCGACUUGAGACAGAGUGAUAGACCAGACAACUUCCUUUCCUUCCUCUUCCAGAAUUCUUUGGACUCCAAUCCGAAGGGUGAGUUCAUUGUUAUUUUUGUGGUCUAAAUUUUUUUGGUUGUUGGUAGAGAUCAUUAUAUUUUUGAAUGUACCGAUAAUGAUAAUCAAUUUGAGGGAUAUGUUUUAAUCAAAAUUAGGGUUUAUCUGCAGUUGUGCAUAACUUCAGGUGCAAACAUUGAAGUUUUGCACCUGAAGGCUGAAGUUGUACCGGGUUCGUCUUGGGUAAUUUAUUGUUUUGUUUUUUUCUGCUUUUGUUUUUAUUUUCUUUCUUUGUAAACCCUACAAUGAGUUUAGAACUGCCCCAAAAAUAUUAGAGAAACUUGUUAUUGAUGAAAGUAAGUAGUGGCUUUUAUUGUGAAGUAAUAAUACCCAAUUCAACCUCUCGCCUCCGCCUGAUUUGGGGUGUGAGGAAGUUGAACCUAUCGGCUAUUUCUCUUUCUGGCUUCUGCC
rnacentral:lncRNA from 1 species